ensembl:lncRNA novel transcript
AGACCAGUUUCCGGUGAGCAUGGUGACAGGGUUGCUGUACGAAGUGGCCCUGAGGGGCUUGGCCACCAUUUCUGAGGGUGGGUCAGGCCUCCGGCCCACAGCGAUCCUCUGCCUUCCUGCGUAGUCAUGCCUGUCACUCAAGGAAAAACGUCCGGAUGACACGUGACACAGCACUGAGUGAUUCGGGAAUUUGCAUUUUCUAUAAGUGACCACUGGUACCAGCCAAGGUGGAAUACGUGCACUUCCGUCUACCGUCCCACUGGGAACGCUGAAAACUCUGGGAGGAACAUAAAGAACAACUCCCUGAGCCCUCUAAAAAGCCAGCUCCAGCUGUGGAGCUGCACCACUAUGCUGCUGGUCCUGGUGCUGGAAGCCCUGAAACUUUGAUGAAAGACCCAACUCUCCAACCAGAGGAACUGGAAAUGGAGUGGGGUGAAUCCCUGUUUAUUUCUUCCUCUUUACUGUUGCCACUUGGCUCCAAAGAUGGCCCCAGUCAUGUGGAACUAUACAAUAGCACAAAGAAUUAAAAAGCUAAGAAAAACCUGAUUUUCUGGACAGAAGAAAACUGGAAAAAGAGCUCCAGCUGUUUUAAAAAUGGGGGGAUAAUCCCUGUUAAUUUUUUUGUCUUUUCUUUUACCAAUUUAUUCCUAAGGUAGUCCUAGUCACGCAGAGCUGCAUGGCAGUGCGGGAAGCUAAAUCUUGGAGAUAACACUAUCUUUCUGUCCAGAAGAACCAGGAAAGGAG